GGAUUGAUGAUGUCAGUAACUGUCUUGGGAUGCUAAAUGACUCAUACAAAUAGAAAUCUGAUUUCU